AGGAAUAUUGCGCAAUGGGGGAAACCCUGACGCAGCAACGCCGCGUGUGGGAAGAAGGCCUUCGGGUCGUAAACCACUUUUGCACGGGACGAAAAAGGGAUAUCGAACAAAUAUCCCCGAUGACGGUACCGUGAGAAUAAGCCACGGCUAACUCUGUGCCAGCAGCCGCGGUAAGACAGAGGUGGCAAGCGUUGUUCGGAAUUACUGGGCGUAAAGAGUCUGUAGGUGGUUUGUCAAGUCUUUUGGNGAAAGGCCGUAGCUUAACUAUGGGAAUGCCAAAAGAGACUGGCAGGCUGGAGGCUGGGAGAGGGAAGCGGAAUUUCUGGUGUAGCGGUGAAAUGCGUAGAUAUCAGAAGGAAGGCCGUGGCGAAGGCGGCUUCCUGGAACAGUCCUGACACUGAGAGACGAAAGCGUGGGGA
rnacentral:rRNA from 1 species